CCUACGGGUGGCAGCAGUAGGGAAUAUUGCUCAAUGGGGGAAACCCUGAAGCAGCAACGCCGCGUGGAGGAUGAAGGUUUUCGGAUUGUAAACUCCUUUUGUUAGAGAAGAGAAUGACGGUAUCUCACUAAUAAGCACCGGCUAACACCGUGCCAGCAGCCGCGGUAAUACGGGGGGUGCAAGCGUUUAUCGGAAUCACUGGGGGUAAAGAGCGCGUAGGCGGGGUAGCAAGUCAGAUGUGAAAUCCUAUGGCUUAACCACAGAACUGCAUUUGAAACUGUUAGUCUAGAGUAUGGGAGAGGUAGGUGGAAUUCUUGGUGUAGGGGUAAAAUGCGUAGAGAUUAAGAGGAACACUCAUUGCGAAGGCGACCUGCUAGAACAUAACUGACGCUGAGGCGCGAAAGCGUGGGGAGCAAACAGGAUUAGAUACCCUUGUAGUC
rnacentral:rRNA from 1 species